GAUGAACGCUGGCGGCGUGCCUAAUACAUGCAAGUCGAGCGAACAGACGAGGAGCUUGCUCCUCUGACGUUAGCGGCGGACGGGUGAGUAACACGUGGAUAACCUACCUAUAAGACUGGGAUAACUUCGGGAAACCGGAGCUAAUACCGGAUAAUAUAUUGAACCGCAUGGUUCAAUAGUGAAAGACGGUUUUGCUGUCACUUAUAGAUGGAUCCGCGCCGCAUUAGCUAGUUGGUAAGGUAACGGCUUACCAAGGCGACGAUGCGUAGCCGACCUGAGAGGGGGAUCGGCCACACUGGAACUGGGACACGGUCAAGACUCCUACGGGAGGCAGCAGUAGGGAAUCUUCCGCAAUGGGCGAAAGCCUGACGGAGCAACGCCGCGUGAGUGAUGAAGGUCUUCGGAUCGUAAAACUCUGUUAUUAGGGAAGAACAAAUGUGUAAGUAACUAUGCACGUCUUGACGGUACCUAAUCAGAAAGCCACGGCUAACUACGUG
rnacentral:rRNA from 1 species